AAACCCACCUCCAACGCCUUCAGGCACACAUCUGUCCGGUGAACGGAGGCUGAGGCGUGGCUGCCCCCUCCCCUGCGUCUGGCAGGGCUGAAGUGCGCCCAGCGCCCUCACGGGGGGAGGGGGUGGACGCCGCCAUGUUGGCCACCGCUUGGCUGGGCAGAUGCUCCUGGGGGCUCCUGAAAGGCGCCAGCCGGCCCCUGCGGGGCAGCGGCGCGAGGCCGCUCGCGAGCCGGUCCCGGGCGACCGGAGGCGUAAACAGCCGCCGCGGCUUCUGCCUCGCGCUGGGGGCCCCCCCGCUGAGCGGCCUCGCGCCGCGGGCGCCGCCCUCCUCUUCCUCCUCCCCCCCCGGCGCGAGGCGGGAGUCGCGGCUGCUGCUGCUGCGCGCGCCCUCCCCGGCCCCGCUCUCCCCGGAGCGGCUCGCGAGCGGCUCCCCGCGCCCCGGCGGCCGGGGCCCGGUCCCCGCCGGCGGGGAGAGCCCCCAGCCGCGGCGGCGCAGCGACGGUGAGGCGGGCCCGCCGGGGGACGCGGCGCGGAGGGGCCGAGGAGCCGCCAGCGGCUACUCGGAGCUGUAUGAAAACCCAUGGACAAUCCCAAAUAUACUUUCUCUGGCAAGAAUUGGUUUGGCUCCAGUUUUGGGUUAUUUGAUUGUUGAAGAAAAUUUCAACAUUGCAUUGGGUGUUUUUGCUUUGGCUGGGAUAACAGACUUGUUGGAUGGGUUUAUUGCACGAAACUGGGCCAGUCAGAAAUCUGCUUUGGGAAGUGCCCUUGACCCGCUAGCUGAUAAAAUUCUUAUCAGUGUCCUGUAUGUCAGCCUCACUUGUGCAAGUCUUAUUCCAGUUCCACUGACUACUUUGAUCAUUUUGAGGGACAUAGUGCUAAUUGCUGCUGUUUUUUAUGUGCGAUACAAAACACUGUCCCCACCGAGAACACUUAGUAGAUAUUUCAACCCCUGUUAUGCUACUGCCCAGUUAAAACCAACUUUCAUCAGCAAGAUGAACACAGCAGUUCAGCUAAUCUUGGUGGCAGCUUCUUUAGCGGCUCCUGUUUUCGAUUACGUAGAUAGCAUAUAUCUACAGACUUUAUGCUGACGUUUUCUUUUUGGCUGAAACAGAACCAAGCAAUAUAUCAGUGCUUAAUUUGUUAUGAGAGAAAUAGCUAAACACAUGAGGAAGCCAGUCAAAACCCAAGGAUGAAAGUUAAGAAACUAAAGUCUUCCAAAUCAGCAUGAAGGCAUCACAGAAGGUGCAUUACAGCUUUCACAACAGCAACGUCUGCAUACAGUUAUUAUCAUUAUGGUCGGAAAACAGUCCAGGUAAUAAACAACAAAUGAAGUGUUAUAGAAAGGACCAUCUCAUCACAUCACUGUUUUCUAUACUGUAAAGGACAAUAUAACUGGCCUAUGAAUAAGAACUCAGUGUUUUUCCUUAGGACAGUUUUUUCAAUUCAAACCAUGUCAUCACAAUUGGACUGAUAUGAAGUAAAAGUGAAGUCUGAUCAUGUACUGUAAAUGUAUUGAAUUUUCAAUGUAUUUUUGAAAGUUAUAAAUAAAAAUAUAAUUGUUAAAUAAAAUCACAAUGUUCUUAAAGGCACUUUUAAGUCACCAGUAGCUGUCCUGCAUUUUGAAUCUUGUAUCUCUUUUUAUAUUGCUUUUCAGAAGCUAAAGUUUGCAUGCUUCAUGCAGAAUUGGAUCGUAUAUUAGAUUCUAAUAGUGUGCUGACGAAGCUCCCUUUUCUUUUCAGAUCUAGUACACAUGGAGUUAUACUGUCACAAGACAGAAUCACUUAUUAGGAUUUACUAAAUAUUAUAGUUUGCUGCAAAGGAAAGCAUUAAAUCACUAGGGAAUGAUACCUUCAGAAAUGUAAAAAGAACAGGAGGACUUGUGGCACCUUAGAGGCUAACCAGUUUAUUUGAGCAUAAGCUUUCGUGAGCUACAGCAAAGUGAGCCUCUUUUCCCUCAAGUUUUUAAAUCUUCAUUGUGAUAUGAAUAAUACAGUCCAUACAGUAUUUCAGAGUUAGUGAUCUUGGUAUUUUUACUGAAGAGAAUCUGUCCCCAGAGAGAAGAUUCUAGUGACAUUAGGGCUCAUGGUGUAGUGUCAGAUGUAGAUAAAUCGAGUUCUUAAAUAGAAGCGUGUUUCUAGUACUGCUAGUUGGUAGUGGUUGAGAAACCAAGGCACUGAACUUCCUGUGUGAGCUAUACUGUGCUGUUUUAAAACCUGCUUGGUCACUUUGAGAUCAUCUUGGAGCAGAAAUGUCAGCGUAAAUAGAACUGAGAAAAAUCAAGGCAUUUUAAAUGCUUUUCGAAAUCACUGGAUUAAUUAGAAACCGUUAAAGCUGCAUAUUUUGUGCAUGAUUCUCCUAUAUCUUUGACUGCGUUGUUCAUCAGGGAUUGCUAUGAUCUCAAUUUACCACCUGUGAUCAAAGAAUAGGGCAAAACUAUUUAAAGUUACAGAAUUAAAUGCCUGUUCCUUGCUUAUACUCUGAUAGCCACAAAAAGUAUAAGACAAGAGAUUUCAUAUUAACAGUAAUGAAAUCUACUUAUUAAAUACUUUGGCGCCAGGUAUGGUGUGUUUUGCAUGUAGUAGCAAAGAAUUGAGGUGUCAGGAGGUAAAGUAACUGAAAAAUAGUUGGACUAUGGUGCUCUAUCACCAAAAGUGAAUUUAUUAGAUAAUGAUUUUGAGGGGGUGUAGUUGUAGGUGUGUAUAUAAAACAUUUAAAUUUUUUAUCUUUUAACUUGUAUAGAAAUGGUACACAGACAAUGUUUAAUUUUUAUUCAAUACCUGUCUCUUAGCUAUCACCAUGUAUAGCAGUCCAGAUCUGUCUUAUGUACAACGGAAGGAUAAAUGUAAAGCAAAUCAUAUAAAAUGUUUUUUCUUAACAUGCAUGUUUAGUUAAUUGGGAGUAUGGUAUUUCUUCAGGAACACAAUUUUAAAAUGGAGAGAUGACAAAGUCCAUUCAGGUUAUUCCUUUUUUUGUUCAUUACCACCAUCUCAAGUAUAGUGAGGUACACCUGAAUAUGUUGUUCAUAGUGUUGAGGCUGUUGAAGGAUCAUGUCAGCAUGCAGGUGCCUCAGCACAUUUAUGAAUAAAAUGGCUACACCGUUU